rnacentral:rRNA from 1 species
CGGGUGAGUAACACGUGGAUAACCUACCUAUAAGACUGGGAUAACUUCGGGAAACCGGAGCUAAUACCGGAUAAUAUAUUGAACCGCAUGGUUCAAUAGUGAAAGACGGUUUUGCUGUCACUUAUAGAUGGAUCCGCGCCGCAUUAGCUAGUUGGUAAGGUAACAGCUUACCAAGGCAGCGAUGCGUAGCCGACCUGAGAGGGUGAUCGGCCACACUGGAACUGAGACACGGUCCAGACUCCUACGGGAGGCAGCAGGU